GCUCCGGUAGCUCAACAGGUUAGAGCACGUGCCUUAUAAGCGCGAGGUUGCGGGUUCAAGGCCCGCUCGGGGUACCA
rnacentral:tRNA from 1 species